AUUGAACGCUGGCGGCAUGCUUUACACAUGCAAGUCGAACGGCAGCGCGGGCUUCGGCCUGGCGGCGAGUGGCGAACGGGUGAGUAAUACAUCGGGACGUGCCCAGUAGUGGGGGAUAGCUCGGCGAAAGCCGGAUUAAUACCGCAUACGACCUGAGGGUGAAAGCGGGGGAUCUUCGGACCUCGCGCUAUUGGAGCGGCCGAUGGCAGAUUAGCUAGUUGGUGGGGUAAAGGCCUACCAAGGCGACGAUCUGUAGCUGGUCUGAGAGGACGACCAGCCACACUGGGACUGAGACACGGCCCAGACUCCUACGGGAGGCAGCAGUGGGGAAUUUUGGACAAUGGGCGAAAGCCUGAUCCAGCAAUGCCGCGUGUGUGAUGAAGGCCCUCGGGUUGUAAAGCACUUUUGGCGGGAACGAAAAGGACUGUGCCAAUACCACGGUUCGAUGACGGUACCCGCAGAAUAAGCACCGGCUAACUACGUG
rnacentral:rRNA from 1 species